CCUACGGGUGGCAGCAGUGGGGAAUCUUCCACAAUGGGGGAAACCCUGAUGCAGCGACGCCGCGUGAGUGAAGAAGUAAUUCGUUAUGUAAAGCUCUAUCAGCAGGGAAGAAAAUGACGGUAACUGAGUAAGCAGCCCCGGCUAACUACGUGCCAGCAGCCGCGGUAAUACGUAGGGGGCAAGCGUUCUCCGGAUUGACUGGGUGGAGGGGGAGCGUAGACGGUAGUGCAAGUCUGGAGUGAAAGGCGGGGGCUCAACCCUCGGAAUGCUCGGGAGACUGUACGGCUGGAGUGCAGGAGAGGGGAGUGGAAUUCCUAGUGUAGCGGUGAAAUGCGUAGAUAUUAGGAGGAACACCAGUGGCGAAGGCGGCUUACUGGACUGUAACUGACGUUGAGGCUCGAAAGCGUGGGGAGCAAACAGGAUUAGAUACCCUAGUAGUC
rnacentral:rRNA from 1 species